rnacentral:sRNA from 1 species
GCUGCUUCUGGUUAAUAUCCAUGCUUACGAGUAUAUCCUGUCAUAUGCCAUGAUGAGUGUAUGUGUGUGUGUGUGUGUGUGUUUGAAAAUGCUUUAAUACUUUUCCUGAGAGGAAACGCUAGCACAGACCCAAGUGCCUUGAAGUGGUUGCUGGGAAAGGCUUGAGGGGCCGGAACUGUUUUCAAUAAUACUUCGUUAUGUUGAGAUAUCUACUCCUCCUUGCCAAUUAUCCUCAAAAUUCAUGAGUGCUUAUGGAUGAUGGUGAACAUUCACAUAGCAAGGCAUGGCUGCCAGCACAAAACAUAUUCAAAUAUUUAUAGACACAACUAGGCAUUAAUGAACAUUCCGAUUCAGACAACAAA